UACGGAGGAUGCAAGCGUUAUCCGGAUUUAUUGGGUUUAAAGGGUGCGUAGGCGGAAUGAUAAGUCAGUGGUGAAAUCCUGCAGCUUAACUGUAGAACUGCCAUUGAUACUGUUGUUCUUGAAUAUAGUUGAGGUAGGCGGAAUGUGUAAUGUAGCGGUGAAAUGCAUAGAUAUUACACAGAACACCGAUUGCGUAGGCAGCUUACUAAGCUAAUAUUGACGCUGAGGCACGAAAGCGUGGGGAUCGAACAGG
rnacentral:rRNA from 1 species